ensembl:snRNA U7 U7 small nuclear RNA
AAAUGUUACAGCUCUUUCAGAAUUUGUCUAGCAUGAUUUUCCAGUUUAUACUAGAAAUCCCCU